rnacentral:rRNA from 1 species
CAGUCGAGCGGUAACACAGAGGAGCUUGCUCCUUGGGUGACGAGCGGCGGACGGGUGAGUAAAGUCUGGGGAUCUGCCUGAUGGAGGGGGAUAACUACUGGAAACGGUAGCUAAUACCGCAUGACGUCUUCGGACCAAAGUGGGGGACCUUCGGGCCUCACGCCAUGAGAUGAACCCAGAUGGGAUUAGCUGGUAGGUGAGGUAACGGCUCACCUAGGCGACGAUCCCUAGCUGGUCUGAGAGGAUGACCAGCCACACUGGAACUGAGACACGGUCCAGACUCCUACGGGAGGCAGCAGUGGGGAAUAUUGCACAAUGGGGGAAACCCUGAUGCAGCCAUGCCGCGUGUGUGAAGAAGGCCUUCGGGUUGUAAAGCACUUUCAGCGGGGAGGAAGGCAAUAAACUUAAUAAGUUUGUUGAUUGACGUUACCCGCAGAAGAAGCACCGGCUAACUCCGUGCCAGCAGCCGCGGUAAUACGGAGGGUGCAAGCGUUAAUCGGAAUGACUGGGCGUAAAGCGCACGCAGGCGGUCUGUUAAGUUGGAUGUGAAAUCCCCGGGCUCAACCCGGGAACAGCAUUCAAAACUGACAGGCUAGAGUCUCGUAGAGGGGGGUAGAAUUCCAGGUGUAGCGGUGAAAUGCGUAGAGAUCUGGAGGAAUACCGGUGGCGAAGGCGGCCCCCUGGACGAAGACUGACGCUCAGGUGCGAAAGCGUGGGGAGCAAACAGGAUUAGAUACCCUGGUAGUCCACGCCGUAAACGAUGUCGACUUGGAGGCUGUGGUCUUGAACCGUGGCUUCCGGAGCUAACGCGUUAAGUCGACCGCCUGGGGAGUACGGCCGCAAGGUUAAAACUCAAAUGAAUUGACGGGGGCCCGCACAAGCGGUGGAGCAUGUGGUUUAAUUCGAUGCAACGCGAAGAACCUUACCUACUCUUGACAUCCAGAGAAGACUGUAGAGAUACGGUUGUGCCUUCGGGAGCUCUGAGACAGGUGCUGCAUGGCUGUCGUCAGCUCGUGUUGUGAAAUGUUGGGUUAAGUCCCGCAACGAGCGCAACCCUUAUCCUUUGUUGCCAGCGAUACGGUCGGGAACUCAAAGGAGACUGCCGGUGAUAAACCGGAGGAAGGUGGGGAUGACGUCAAGUCAUCAUGGCCCUUACGAGUAGGGCUACACACGUGCUACAAUGGCGCAUACAAAGAGAAGCGAGCCUGCGAGGGUGAGCGGACCUCAUAAAGUGCGUCGUAGUCCGGAUUGGAGUCUGCAACUCGACUCCAUGAAGUCGGAAUCGCUAGUAAUCGUAGAUCAGAAUGCUACGGUGAAUACGUUCCCGGGCCUUGUACACACCGCCCGUCACACCAUGGGAGUGGGUUGCAAAAGAAGUAGGUAGC